rnacentral:lncRNA from 1 species
AGCCCCUCGCCGUCCGCUUCCCGAGCACAGCCGACGCCGAGCCGGGCCCUAGCACACAGCGGCAGCGCCCGACGCAGCGCCAAAGUCCGGCCGGCGGCGUGCGCGGGCUCCCGAGGAGGGAGCGGGCCGGCCCGGGCUGUGCUGCUGACAAAGGCGGCGGGAGAUGACCCCGGCAGAGCAGGCGGGAAGCCCAGCUGCCCCGCAGCUGCCACCUGCUCCGCGCCCCCAGCCCCGUUCAGUACCAAAUAUCCCGAGCCCGGAAAUGGACCCGGGCCGUCCAGUACGGAAGGAGAGAGGAGACAGAAAGGCCGGCAGGCGGGCGACGGGAGGCGGGCGGGCCAGGCUGGGGGCGGGGGAGGGGAGCUGCAGGUCUGCAACCGCAAUUGCGAGUGGCUGGCAAGGGAAGAUCCGCUCCCGCCGCGCCUCCCUGCCGUCUCCUUUGUGCUCGGAAAACGUUUCCCUUUCUUCCUAGGCGUGGGAUCCGCUCCUAGACUUGCGCGGCGGCGGUAGAGCUGCUCAACACCAGGAUCUCUCUUCUCCACCCACAGGAACGUUCACCAAAAGGUGGGUGUGUGACCAAAACAGACCAAGCAAAAUACCCUCCUGGGCUCACUGUAUAAAGAAAGGCUGAUAAGUAUUUCCUGUGGGGAAGUUCUGCCCUCUCCGGUGGACAGUGAGGCCAAACUGAUGUCAGAAGCAAAGAUAAAAGAAAGGAGAAAGAGGGCAUGUCCUGGUGUUAACACAGCCCACAGCCGCAAACCUGAAAUCCUGAGUUUCCAGGGCUUCUGCAGCUCCUCCCUUCUGAGUUCCAACCUAGCAUCCUUUCAACUUCUCCCCGGCUUCAGUUAAGCUAUUAAAAGUUGAUUUUCUGUCACUCACAGCCCCAGUGUGAAAGACCACAUGGAGGCAGUUUUACUUGAACUUGACAUUGAAAAAUAUGGCUUAGGUUGGUAAAAAUUUAGGAGGAGACUUUCCAGCCCAGAGGUUGGUAAACUGGCCCACAGACCAAAUCCAGCACACUGAAUUUGAAUGACUGGUUUUUAUGUGUUAAAAUGAUUGCCCUUUAAAUGGUUAUAUAAAUACAACAUAUUUUCCAUUUUUGCCACUUGAUCCUAAGAGUUGCCAAAAGUAUAAAAUAUUUACUCUCAUAUUUCUUAUUUAAAAGAGUUUGGUUAAAACGGUACCAUGGUGGCCAGAACACUUGCUAAGUUAAAUAUGUGAAUGAGAAGUAGGUAAUACUAGAAAGAUAGGUGUAUGUGGGUUUUUAAUUGCAUUUACAUCUAUUGAUUAUUUUGAGCUUCCUAAAAUUACAGAGUAUUUAUAAUAGCAGAAUUCUCUGCUUCCUUCCCCAAAUCUGUUGUUUCCGCUUUCUACCAGAUUCUGCCCUAAGAGGCCUGAUAAAUUCCCAGAGUCUGUUUGCCUUGUGACUUCUAGUUGAGUCUGACUGAUGAGAAGCACUGCCAGAGAUUUAA